rnacentral:lncRNA from 1 species
CAGAAGGACUUUCCUGUUGCAGAAAAUCGUGACAAAAGCAAAAUCAGAGCAAAGCUUGAAAACGGUGUUCUUUAUGUUAACUUCUUUUUUUGAUAAGGACCAAUAUUUAUUUGGACAAUAUGUAAUCCCAUUACAUUGAAGCACAACUCCAUAUCAGCUGCGGAAAGGCUUAAGCGCAUAGGAUCCUUCUGGUUUGCCUUUAUGUUAACUUCAGCA